rnacentral:lncRNA from 1 species
AAAGAGUGGUGCGCAUCAAUAAUGUUCGAGCGACAAGCUAAAGUUGCUUGGUCGUAGCCUCGGUGAGACCGUAUUGCGUGUGAACAUGGGGUACAGGACACUUCAACUUACAUCCCGAUGAACUUCUUUAAAGAAUGGGUAGUGAGCCCGUAGAAGUAUAAGCAGCAUAAGCAGUAGAUAAUAGUGUAACACGUGACCAGUGUGCUAACACUUCAACCAACACCAUAAAGCAUAAAAGGUGUCCGCAAGUUGGUUGUAUCUAUCUACAUAAUUUUAUAUAACAAUAGAAUGUUCACUUUUAUGUUAUUUAGCAUAGGAGGGUCUCACUCCUAAUUUAGCUAAAGAAUAGGCUUUCAAAACGAGCAAUGAGCAUUGCAGGGGGCCAAUGCGACAUCGAGGAAAGGCCGGUGCACCUCAAUUGCUUGAGGAAUUGACCGGACGACCUCCAGGAAGUUGGAGUCGUGUUCGGGUGACGUCAAUGUUCCCCGGGUCACCACCAUGCUUCAUGGUGAUGCUAGGUCUCGAAUGUCUUCGUUUUGAGCGGAAGAAUGGAUGUCCAUGAGAAUUUCUCAAAAUUUGGAUCACUAUAUCUCUUCCAGGUUGACCAAUUUAGUCAAACCAAAGCCUAUAUGAGUCAGUGUCCCAAAUAUCAUGUUUGGCGACAACAUGGGAUUCGAUAUUCGAAUCAUAGUGACAUACAGUCCACUAGAUUGACUCAUGAAUUUCUCCAAGAUGCGCUUCAGUCCGCAUUCAUGAGAAGGUAUACACAAAAGAAUUCUUGUUCAUUCUCACAAUGUGUUUUCAAAUGAAAACCAUUAGCAUGAAUGUCUUUAAAGCUCAACAUGGUUCCUUAGAAUGUUGUGGAUAGUUCCACUAUCUGCGAAGCACUCAAUGUCUCUAUGAGACAUAACUACAAGGAGUAGAUAGGCGAGUAAAUAGUUCUACUUGAACCAUUUAGAAGGAUUGAAAGAAGCUACGAAAAGCUGC